rnacentral:rRNA from 1 species
GAUGAACGCUAGCGGGAGGCCUAACACAUGCAAGCCGAGCGGUAGAGUCUCUUCGGAGACUUGAGAGCGGCGCACGGGUGCGGAACACGUGUGCAACCUGCCUUUAUCUGGGGGAUAGCCUUUCGAAGGGAAGAUUAAUACCCCAUAAUAUACUGGAUGGCAUCAUCUGGUAUUGAAAACUCCGGUGGAUAGAGAUGGGCACGCGCAAGAUUAGAUAGUUGGUGAGGUAACGGCUCACCAAGUCAGCGAUCUUUAGGGGGCCUGAGAGGGUGAUCCCCCACACUGGUACUGAGACACGGACCAGACUCCUACGGGAGGCAGCAGUGAGGAAUAUUGGACAAUGGGUGAGAGCCUGAUCCAGCUAUCCCGCGUGAAGGACGACGGCCCUAUGGGUUGUAAACUUCUUUUGUAUAGGGAUAAACCUAGAUACGUGUAUCUAGCUGAAGGUACUAUAAGAAUAAGCACCGGCUAACUCCGUG